rnacentral:snRNA from 1 species
GUGCUCGCUUCGGCAGCACAUAUACUAAGAUUGGAACGAUACAGAGAAGAUUAGCAUGGCCCCGCGCAAGGAUGACACACGAAUUCGUGAAGCGUUCCAUAUUUUU